AUAAGAGCUUUUUACUCUCUGCCUUUCCCUCUGCUACAGGGAACAAAACCAAUUUCCAACAAUACUGCUCUUGUAUCAUCCUUUUUUUGCUUUGCUUCACAAGAAACUUUAUUAAUUCACUUUUAUGCUUUGCUUUUUCUUCAUGUCAAUGACAGUACCAAUAGUAUUUCCUGAUUUUACAACUGCCUGAGUAACAGAAGCAUGAGACACACAGGCAGGACUGAGGCACACCCACCAGUGACCCCUGCCUUCACUCCUACCUGUAGACCACAGAAAGAAACAGGCAAUUUUAGAAGGAAUGGCAUGCCAACAUAUUUUUUAAUACAAAAUGUCCAGGCUGUAGAGGCACCUACUCAGAGGUGAAUACAGCAAGCAGGAAAAAAUAACAGAAGACAACACGGACAGGAGCAGAUGGCAAUAUAGGGAGGAGAAAACCCCAAAACAACAAACCAACCACAAAAACCAAGAGAUGAUUAACAAGUCAUCCAUGAACAUUUGCUAUCAGUACCUGUGAACCAACCACAAACCAUAAAUAAGAAAGAACAUACAAACUUCAGACCAGAACAAUAACCUUGUCUCAUCUGAUAAACGUGACUGGAGUUUGUGGUUUUCAUCUACUUUCUUAGAAAAAACUAAAAAGCAAUUUUUAAAAAAGGAAGGUAUCCACACACAGUGUGGGAGGCAGGAGAAUGGCCAUGAGCUGAUGUGAUAGCUGCUGGCUCUUGAAAGGGAAAUGGAAGAAGGCACAAGAACAGCAGCACUGACAUCACAGAGGCAAAAGAGCCAUCAGUGCUACAGCACUGGAGGGGUCUACUGUAGCCAGGGACUCAGCACAGUUCUCAGGCAGAGGGGCCUUUGGAAAUGCAAGACUGUUUUUUGACAAAUGAAUUGGAAACCAGCCUAUUCAUCCUGUAUAAUAAACAGCAAAUGCUGGAGGGUAUUUAACAUGCAAAGGGCACACACCACAGAUUGCCAUGCUCACUGCAUGACAGCCACUGAGGAAACUCAUUGGACACAGACUCCACAUUCCUCGUGGAAGGGAAGAAAUGUCAUUUAAGGCUACAUAUCUGAAAUCUUUUAAUUUAAUAGCAAAUAAUUUUUACAUCUGAAUGAAUAACCAUAUUCACACGAGACUAAAAAAUUGUGAAGAGCAGUCACCAUCCAAAUGUUUGUGGCAGUCCAAGUAUCCAUGAGUGGCUGAUACCAAAAGGCUGCAGUAAGCCUGGGAUGAGCCAUGGCAGCACUUCCCAGCAAAGUUUAAGUCCAUUCAUGAAGUUAGUGACGGAUCAUUAUUCUGAAGCAGGAGCAGACUCAGAACAAACUGCACUGCCAGGUGAUACACUCACUCAAGGCGAAAUCACCAACUAAUUUGUCCUUCUAAAAAUAAAGAGGAACUCAAACAGGAAUUAAACAUAUAGCUGCUUCAUUUUUCAGGAUCUGGAAUUAUAUUGCCUGACUCUACAGGGGGAAGUAGUUGUCUUUAUAAUUCAGUCCUACUUUGUCUGGGUAUUGUGAACAAUAGUAAUAACAUAUCUGUUUCAAAGUACUCCAGGAAAAAUUCUUCAGAGGAUUUACCAUUUAAUAGUGAGAUUAUGAUACACUUACCAUUACAGAAUAACAUCCUCUUUUUGUAAUCCAAUUGGAUUUUAAUAGCUUUGUUGGAAGACUUGUGAGAUGUGUCAGGUACAGCAGGAUAUCGUAAUCUGAUCCUUAGCUUCUAUUACGUGUGUUAAGCAGUGUGGAUCAUCUCAACUGAACAUAUCAGAAAGUUUCUCCUUGAUAUUCAGACAUGUUUUUAUAUGUUCCUUU